GGGGGGGCGACACGGCUCGGGCCCGCCAGUGCCCCAACGGGGUCCUAGUUAUUAUUUUUCCUCCCCUUUGAACUGGAAAAUGGCCCACUUCCCACUGGCGAAAACUCAUGAAAUUUGGCAGGACAACCGGGCCUGGUGAAAUAUUUGAUAUUCCGAAGUCGCCCAAACAAGAAAAUGCAAAAUGGCUCCAUAGCGCCCCCUAAGGUGAAAAUUCACACUAUUGACUGUCACGCCUGUAUGUUUUGUCAAAAUGACACAAAAAUUGACACACACAUGUAUCUCAAUAAGAUCUACAAAAAAGUCAGUGCGGGCGUAUCUGUCAAAUGUACGGUUAAAGGGUUAUUUCGCAUUUUUUGCCGAUCCGCACACAUUGCAAUUUCGCUAACUCCUCCGAAGGCUUUCGUUCCACCGGCACCACAUUUGCUCAGGCCAAUCUACACCCCAUGGCCAUUAAAAGUUAUUCAAAUCAUGAUGCUGCACCCCACGGUUUAGGUUCUAGGGGGCGCCAAAGAUAACCCUAAGAUCCACAUAUUUAAAAGUCUUAUAACUUUUUAUUUUUGCCCUCACUGGCCUCCAAGUUUUCUAGGAUGAUGCAAUGUCCAGCCAUCAACACAUUUGUGAAGGAAUUUUUACUCCCCAAAAGAGCGCCCCCCCAUGGCAGGAGAAAAAAGUCCAUUUUUUCUUGUCCCCUAAGGUGAAAAUACACAUUGUUGAGUGUAACACCUGUACGCUUUGUCAAAAUGACACAAAAAUUGACACACACAUGUAUCUCAAUAAGAUCUACGAAAAAGUCAAUGCGCGCGUAUCUGUCAAAUGUACGGUUAAAGGGUUAUUCCGCAUUUUUUGCCGAUCCGCACACAUUGGAAUUUCGCUAACUCCUCCGAAGGCUUUCGUUCCACCGGCACCACAUUUGCUCAGGCCAAUCUACACCCCAUGGCCAUUAAAAGUUAUUCAAAUCAUGACGCUGCACCCCACGGUUUAGGUUCUAGGGGGCGCCAAAGAUAACCGUAAAAUCCACAUAUUAAAAAGUCUUAUAACUUUUUAUUUUUGUCCCCACUGGCCUCCAAGUUUUCUAGGAUGACGCAAUGUCCAGCCAUCAACACAUUUGUGAAGGAAUUUUUACUCGCCAAAAGAGCGCCCCCCCAUGGCAGGAGAAAAAAGUCCAUUUUUUCUUGUCCACUAAGGUGAAAAUACACAUUGUUGAGUGCUACGCCUGUAUGUUUUGUCGUAUUGACACAAAAUUUUACAUACACGUGUAUUUCAAUAAGAUCUUCGAAAAAGUCAAUGGCCACGUAUCUGUAAAAUGUACGGUUAAAGGGUUAUUUCGCAUUUUUUUCAGAUUCGCACACAUUGGAAUUUCGCUAAAUCCUCCGAAGGCUUUCGUUCCACCGGCACCACAUUUGCUCAGGCCAAUCUACACCCCAUGGCCAUUAAAAGUUAUUCAAAUCAUGACGCUGCACCCCACGGUUUAGGUUCUAGGGGGCGCCAAAGAUAACCCUAAAAUCCACAUAUUUAAAAGUCUUAUAACUUUUUAUUUUUGUCCUCACUGGCCUCCAUGUUUUCUAGUAUGAUGCAAUGUCCAGCCAUCAACACAUUUGUGAAGGAGUUUUUUCUCGUUAAAAGAGCACCCCCCAAUGGCAGGAGAAUAAAGUCAAGUUUUUCCUGUUCAUCAUUCAAUGGCUCAAACGCACUGCUCUCUCGGCAAAAGCGAAAGGAGGAGCAACUUGCCAUUUGGAUAUAUCUUAGCUGUGUUUGUGCCCUCACUCAUGGUCCAGACUUUUUUCAAAUAGGACAUGGAGUUUUUCUGCAGCGAGCGUUUUGGUAGAAACUGCGCCUCCCGUUCAUUAUAAUGGUAAAUGACCACAAACAAGUGCGCACACCAUCUUUGGACCUUGAGUGUGACGCGAUCGGGUGGGGGAGGCGGUCGCGCUGAGGGCGGCGUGACAUGGCUCGGGCCCGCCAGUGCCCCAACGGGGCCCUAGUUAUUAUUUUUCCUCCCCUUUGAACUGGAAAAUGGCCCACUUCCCACUGGCGAAAACUCAUGAAAUUUGGCAGGACGACCGGGCCUGGUGAAAAAUUUGAUAUUCCGAAGUCGCCCAAACAAGAAAAUGCAAAAUGGCUCCAUAGCGCCCCCUAAGGUGAAAAAUUCACCUGACGCCUGUACGCUUUGUCAAAAUGACACAAAAAUUGACACACACAUGUAUCUCAAUAAGAUCUACGAAAAAGUCAAUGCGCGCGUAUCUGUCAAAUGUACGGUUAAAGGGUUAUUCCGCAUUUUUUGCCGAUCCGCACACAUUGGAAUUUCGCUAACUCCUCCGAAGGCUUUCGUUCCACCGGCACCACAUUUGCUCAGGCCAAUCUACACCCCAUGGCCAUUAAAAGUUAUUCAAAUCAUGACGCUGCACCCCACGGUUUAGGUUCUAGGGGGCGCCAAAGAUAACACUAAAAUCCACAUAUUUCAAAGUCUUAUAACUUUUUAUUUUUGUCCUCACUGGCCUCCAAGUUUUCUAGGAUGAUGCAAUGUCCAGCCAUCAACACAUUUGUGAAGGAAUUUUUACUCCCCAAAAGAGCGCCCCCCCAUGGCAGGAGAAAAAAGUCCAUUUUUUCUUGUCCCCUAAGGUGAAAAUACACAUUGUUGAGUGUCACGCCUGUACGCUUUGACAAAAUGACACAAAAAUUGACACACACAUGUAUCUCAAUAAGAUCUACAAAAAAGUCAAUGGGCGCGUAUCUGUCAAAUGUACGGUUAAAGGGUUAUUCCGCAUUUUUUGCCGAUUCACACACAUUGGAAUUUCGCUAACUCCUCCGAAGGCUUUCGUUCCACCGGCACCACAUUUGCUCAGGCCAAAUUACACCCCAUGGCCAUUAAAAGUUAUUCAAAUCAUGACGCUGCACCCCACGGUUUACGUUCUAGGGGGCGCCAAAGAUAACCCAAAAAUUCAAAUUUUUAAAAGUCUUAUAACUUUUUAUUUUUGUCCUCACUGGCCUCCAAGUUUUCUAGGAUGAUGCAAUGUCCAGCCAUCAACACAUUUGUGAAGGAAUUUUUACUCCCCAAAAGAGCGCCCCCCCAUGGCAGGAGAAAAAAGUCCAUUUUUUCUUGUUCUUUCUUUCUUUCUUCUUUUUCCUCCCCUUUGAACUGGAAAAUGGCCCACUUCCCACUGGCGAAAACUCAUGAAAUUUGGCAGGACGACCGGGCCUGGUGAAAAAUUCGAUAUUCUGAAGUCGCCCAAACAAUAAAAUUCAAAAUGGCUCCAUAGCGCCCCCUAAGGUGGAAAUUCACACUAUUGACUGUCACGCCUGUACGCUUUGUCAUAUUGACACAAAAAUUGACACACAUAUGUAUCUCAAUAAGAUCUACAAAAAAGUCAGUGCGGCCGUAUCUGUCAAAAUUACGGUUAAAGGGUUAUUUCGCAUUUUUUGCCGAUCCGCACACAUUGGAAUUUCGCUAACUCCUCCGAAGGCUUUCGUUCCACCGGCACCACAUUUGCUCAGGCCAAUCUACACCCCGUGGCCAUUAAAAGUUAUCAAAAUCAUGACGCUGCACCCCAAGGUUUAGGUUCUAGGGGGCGCCAAAGAUAACACUAAAAUCCACAUAUUUCAAAGUCUUAUAACUUUUUAUUUUUGCCCUCACUGGCCUCCAAGUUUUCUAGGAUGAUGCAAUGUCCAGCCAUCAACACAUUUGUGAAGGAAUUUUUACUCCCUAAAAGAGCGCCCCCCCAUGGCAGGAGAAAAAAGUCCAUUUUUUCUUGUUCUUUCUUUCUUUAGGGCCCGAGCGUAGCUGCUAAGCAGCUGCGAGAGCCCUCUUGUUCCUGCAUGUUUCCUUCUUUUGUUAUUAGGGCCCGAGCGUAGCUGCUAAGCAGCUGCGAGAGCCCUAUUAUUCCCCAAGUGGUUUUUCUUUGUUUCUUUCUUUCUUUUUUCUUUUUCCUCCCCUUUGAACUGGAAAAUGGCCCACUUCCCACUGGCAAAAACUCAUGAAAUUUGGCAGGACGACCGGGCCUGGUGAAAAAUUCGAUAUUCUGAAGUCGCCCAAACAAUAAAAUGCAAAAUGGCUCCAUAGCGCCCCCUAAGGUGGAAAUUCACACUAUUGACUGUCACGCCUGUACGCUUUGUCAUAUUGACACAAAAAUUGACACACAUAUGUAUCUUAAUAAGAUCUACAAAAAAGUCAGUGCGGCCAUAUCUGUCAAAAUUACGGUUAAAGGGUUAUUUCGCAUUUUUUGCCGAUCCGCACACAUUGGAAUUUCGCUAACUCCUCCGAAGGCUUUCGUUCCACCGGCACCACAUUUGCUCAGGCCAAUCUACACCCCGUGGCCAUUAAAAGUUAUCAAAAUCAUGACGCUGCACCCCAAGGUUUAGGUUCUAGGGGGCGCCAAAGAUAACACUAAAAUCCACAUAUUUAAAAGUCUUUUAACUUUUUAUUUUUGUCCUCACUGGCCUCCAAGUUUUCUAGGAUGAUGCAAUGUCCAGCCAUCAACACAUUUGUGAAGGAAUUUUUACUCCCCAAAAGAGCGCCCCCCCAUGGCAGAAGAAAAAAGUCCAUUUUUUCUUGUCCCCUAAGGUGAAAAUACACAUUGUUGAGUGUCACGCCUAUACGCUUUGUCAAAAUGACACAAAAAUUGACACACACAUGUAACUCAAUAAGAUCUACGAAAAAGUCAAUGCGCGCGUAUCUGUCAAAUGUACGGUUAAAGGGUUAUUCCGCAUUUUUUGCCGAUCCGCACACAUUGGAAUGUGGCUAACUCCUCCUAAGGCUUUCGUUCCACCGGCACCACAUUUGCUCAGGCCAAUCUACACCCCAUGGCCAUUAAAAGUUAUUCAAAUCAUGACGCUGCACCCCACGGUUUAGGUUCUAGGGGGCGCCAAAGAUAACCCUAAAAUCCACAUAUUUAAAAGUCUUAUAACUUUUUAUUUUUGUCCUCACUGGCCUCCAAGUUUUCUAGGAUGAUGCAAUGUCCAGCCAUCAACACAUUUGUGAAGGAAUUUUUACUCCCCAAAAGAGCGCCCCCCAUGGCAGGAGAAAAAAGUCCAUUUUUUCUUGUCCCCUAAGGUGAAAAUACAUAUUGUUGAGAUUCACGCCUAUACGCUUUGUCAUAUUGACACAAAAUUUGACAAUCACGUGCCUUGCCUGGUAUCAUUUUUUUCAGCACAACCUCACCUGUGCGAAUUUACAGUUAUUUUAUCAUGUUGACAUACUGAAUUUACACAAUGGACCCAAAUUCACACACAAAACAUAAAAUCCGAGUGGAAAAAAGUAACAUUUUUACUGUGAAAACCACAAAUAUGUGUGAUGAACUGUUUUUAAAACUUAAACUUCAAAUAAAAAUUGUAAACUUCAAAACAUAUGCAAAUUUUUAACAAAGAACAUAGUGAUUUACCUCUAUUUACAUCAAAAUGCAGGCAAUGGCCCAGGCGUUCUUUGUAAAAUUAUUUACAAAACACUGUAUAGUCUCACUAAUAUCACUUUUUAUUUAUGCCACUACAAAAAAACAUGAUGUAAAUGAUGCAUGAUGUAAAACAUGAUGUAAAAAACUUGUGUAGAUCCUCCUCUAUGUCAGUCCAUGUGUAAUUUUUCCAUAAUUCUUUGUUUUUUGCAGCAUUUUUGUUAGUGUAACUGCAGAUUGUGCUGACAGUGUCUAUGGCACAAAAAAAAAAAAAUUUAAAUGCCUCAACAUGAACCCCUGGUGGUCUCUGAGUGUGAAACCUGCUAACUGCUGCAGCUCUGUCAGCUUCAGUCUCCCAUGCAGAGCUCUGAGCGCAUGUGUGGCUCUGCACCCUUAGCAGCAUUGCUAACUCCUCAGUAAGGAAAGCCUGCUUCAUGUCAGAGUCUCUAAACUCCAGAAGAAGUCGAUAAAAGUCCCUUUCUUUCUAAAAAAAAAGUCGUUAGGGGGUCUGAAAAGUCAUUGAAUCUAACAACAAAGUCGCUAGGUUUGCAACUACGUGUCCCAGACUGCAUCCCUGCUGAGAGUCCCUCCCUCGCUUCUCAUGUUGCAGGAAGAACGUAAGCGCCCGCCCCUUGUCAAUCAGUCACCAUAUAAUUUUGGAUUGGUUGUUGUGGUGAAGUUUUCCACCAAUAGGAGAGAUGUUGUGGUGUGUUUUUUUUUCUUUUGGCAAGCCUUUUCCGCCUGUAAGAGCUGUCGCUAAUGUCUGCAUGCUAUGUUUUCCUGUCUCAUACAGCGCGAUCGAGCGCCGAACGUGAUCAAAAUAAGCAGAAAAAAAGUAUCGCGGACAUAAUUUAUCAUAACUCUGGUUUUAUUUGGCCUAUCAUCACAAUUUAAAAACUGGUAUAUAGGUUGAGGUCCUCACUUUUGAGAUAAGUUGAAACGGAGAGUCAACGAGGCUCCGUCUUGCAGCUACAUCCGGUUAAAUAUGUCAUGUGACUUGAACACACACACAGACACACACACACGCACACACACACACACUCAGAGUCUGGUUUUUAGCACCUGCAAAAACAUGCUAUUUACAUAUUUGACAAGAAUGCAGAGGCUCCUUUUGCCCCUGAAAAAAAUCAAAUUUCAAACACAACUUGACUGGUCAUUUCUCCAAAAGACAACCAUGAAGCUCCAUCCAAACCUGAAGCAGGCAGUUGGUGCAUGUGUACAGUAACCUGAGGGGAGUGAGGUGAGUGCUUCUGAGGAGAACAUGAGCAGUGAAGAUUCACCUUGGAGCUAGAACAGAGACAUGCACAUGAUUAUACAGGGGCAGGGGCUCAAGUUUUUUCCAGUCGUUUAUACAAUAUGGAAAUUAAUGUGAAAUUAAAACACAAAGUAUUAAUAGAAAGGUAAUGACUGUCCUGUGUAGGUGACAGUGAUAUCCAAUAGGCUAGGCACUCACGAGGCUGGCUGUGGCAAGUGUAAGUGAAAGCAACACGCACUGGCAAGAAGAACAGCAAACGCCAAUGAAGGAAAAGGGUCUUUGCAGUGAUGGGCGUUACCAGAGAGGGCGAUGGCCAGAGGACACAAAUGGGACGGGGAGGCAGCACGUUGGGGGGGGACGCGACACGGCUCGGGCCCGCCAGUGCCCCAACGGGGUCCUAGUUAUUAUUUUUCCUCCCCUUUGAACUGGAAAAUGGCCCACUUCCCACUGGCGAAAACUCAUGAAAUUUGGCAGGACGACCGGGCCUGGUGAAAAAUUUGAUAUUCCGAAGUCGCCCAAACAAGAAAAUGCAAAAUGGCUCCAUAGCGCCCCCUAAGGUGAAAAUUCACACUAUUGACUGUCACGCGUGUACGCUUUGUCAAAAUGACACAAAAAUUGACACACACAUGUAUCUCAAUAAGAUCUACAAAAAAGUCAGUGCGGGCGUAUCUGUCAAAUGUACGGUUAAAGGGUUAUUUCGCAUUUUUUGCCGAUCCGCACACAUUGGAAUUUCGCUAACUCCUCCGAAGGCUUUCGUUCCACCGGCACCACAUUUGCUCAGGCCAAUCUACACCCCAUGGCCAUUAAAAGUUAUUCAAAUCAUGACGCUGCACCCCACGGUUUAGGUUCUAGGGGGCGCCAAAGAUAACCCUAAGAUCCACAUAUUUAAAAGUCUUAUAGCUUUUUAUUUUUGCCCUCACUGGCCUCCAAGUUUUCUAGGAUGAUGCAAUGUCCAGCCAUCAACACAUUUGUGAAGGAAUUUUUACUCCCCAAAAGAGCGCCCCCCAUGGCAGGAGAAAAAAGUCCAUUUUUUCUUGUCCCCUAAGGUGAAAAUACACAUUGUUGAGUGUAACACCUGUAUGCUUUGGCAAAAUGACACAAAAAUUGACACACACAUGUAUCUCAAUAAGAUCUACGAAAAAGUCAAUGCGCGCGUAUCUGUCAAAUGUACGGUUAAAGGGUUAUUCCGCAUUUUUUGCCGAUCCGCACACAUUGGAAUUUCGCUAACUCCUCCGAAGGCUUUCGUUCCACCGGCACCACAUUUGCUCAGGCCAAUCUACACCCCAUGGCCAUUAAAAGUUAUUCAAAUCAUGACGCUGCACCCCAAGGUUUAGGUUCUAGGGGGCGCCAAAGAUAACACUAAAAUCCACAUAUUUAAAAGUCUUAUAACUUUUUAUUUUUGUCCUCACUGGCCUCCAAGUUUUCUAGGAUGAUGCAAUGUCCAGCCAUCAACACAUUUGUGAAGGAAUUUUUACUCCCCAAAAGAGCGCCCCCCCAUGGCAGGAGAAAAAAGUCAAUUUUUUCUUGUCCCCUAAGGUGGAAAUUCACACUAUUGACUGUCACGCCUGUACGCUUUAUCAUAUUGACACAAAAAUUGACACACAUAUGUAUCUCAAUAAGAUCUACAAAAAAGUCAAUGUGCGCGUAUCUGUCAAAUGUACGGUUAAAGGGCUAUUUUGCAUUUUUUGCCGAUUCGCACACAUUGGAAUGUGGCUAACUCCUCCUAAGGCUUUCGUCCCACUGACACCAAAUUUGCUCAGGCCAAUCUACACCCCAUGGCCAUUCAAAGUUGUAAAAAUCAUGACGCUGCACCCCACGGUUUACGUUCUAGGGGGCGCCAAAGAUGACCCAAAAAUCCACAUUCUUAAAGGAAUCCACAUCCCCCCCCAAGGCAGGAGAAAAAGUCAAGUUAACCCUGCCCAUCGCUCAAUGGCUCAAUCGCAUCGCUCUCCAGGCAACACCGUAAGGAGGAGCAACCUGCCAUUUCGAUAUAUCAUAGCUGUGUUUGUGCCCUCACUCAUGGUCCAGACUUUUUUCAAAUAGGACAUGAAGUUUGUCUGCAGCGAGUGUUUUGGUAGAAACUGCGCCUCCCAUUCAUUAUAAUGGGAAAUGACCACAGACAAGUGCGCACACCAUCUUUGGACCUUGAGUGUGACGCGAUCGGGAGGGGGAGGCGGUCGCGCUAGGGGCGGCGCGACGCGGCUCGGGCCCGACAGUGCCCCACCGGGGCCCUAGUUAUUUUUCCUCCCCUUUGAACUGGAAAAUGGCCCACUUCCCACUGGUGAAAACUCAUGAAAUUUGGCAGGACGACCGGGCCUGGUGAAAAAUUUGAUAUUCCGAAGUCGCCCAAACAAGAAAAUGCAAAAUGGCUCCAUAGCGCCCCCUAAGGUGAAAAUUCACACUAUUGACUGUCACGCGUGUACGCUUUGUCAAAAUGACACAAAAAUUGACACACACAUGUAUCUCAAAAAGAUCUACAAAAAAGUCAGUGCGGGCGUAUCUGUCAAAUGUACGGUUAAAGGGUUAUUUCGCAUUUUUUGCCGAUCCGCACACAUUGGAAUUUCGCUAACUCCUCCGAAGGCUUUCGUUCCACCGGCACCACAUUUGCUCAGGCCAAUCUACACCCCAUGGCCAUUAAAAGUUAUUCAAAUCAUGACGCUGCACCCCACGGUUUAGGUUCUAGGGGGCGCCAAAUAUAACCCUAAGAUCCACAUAUUUAAAAGUCUUAUAACUUUUUAUUUUUGCCCUCACUGGCCUCCAAGUUUUCUAGGAUGAUGCAAUGUCCAGCCAUCAACACAUUUGUGAAGGAAUUUUUACUCCCCAAAAGAGCGCCCCCCCAUGGCAGGAGAAAAAAGUCCAUUUUUUCUUGUCCCCUAAGGUGAAAAUACACAUUGUUGAGUGUAACACCUGUACGCUUUGGCAAAAUGACACCAAAAUUGACACACACAUGUAUCUCAAUAAGAUCUACAAAAAAGUCAAUGCGCACGUAUCUGUCAAAUGUACGGUUAAAGGGUUAUUCCGCAUUUUUUGCCGAUCCGCACACAUUGGAAUUUCGCUAACUCCUCCGAAGGCUUUCGUUCCACCGGCACCACAUUUUCUCAGGCCAAUCUACACCCCAUGGCCAUUAAAAGUUAUUCAAAUCAUGACGCUGCACCCCACGGUUUAGGUUCUAGGGGGCGCCAAAGAUAACCGUAAAAUCCACAUAUUUAAAAGUCUUAUAACUUUUUAUUUUUGUCCCCACUGGCCUCCAAGUUUUCUAGGAUGAUGCAAUGUCCAGCCAUCAACACAUUUGUGAAGGAAUUUUUACUCGCCAAAAGAGCGCCCCCCCAUGGCAGGAGAAAAAAGUCCAUUUUUUCUUGUCCAUUAAGGUGAAAAUACACAUUGUUGAGUGCUACGCCUGUAUGUUUUGUCGUAUUGACACAAAAUUUUACAUACACGUGUCUUUCAAUAAGAUCUUCGAAAAAGUCAAUGGCCACGUAUCUGUAAAAUGUACGGUUAAAGGGUUAUUUCGCAUUUUUUGCAGAUUCGCACACAUUGGAAUUUCGCUAACUCCUCCGAAGGCUUUCGUUCCACCGGCACCACAUUUGCUCAGGCCAAUCUACACCCCAUGGCCGUUAAAAGUUAUUCAAAUCAUGACGCUGCACCCCACGGUUUAGGUUCUAGGGGGCGCCAAAGAUAACCCUAAAAUCCACAUAUUUAAAAGUCUUAUAACUUUUUAUUUUUGUCCUCACUGGCCUCCAUGUUUUCUAGGAUGAUGCAAUGUCCAGUCAUCAACACAUUUGUGAAGGAGUUUUUUCUCGUUAAAAGAGCGCCCCCCCAUGGCAGGAGAAUGAAGUCAAGUUUUUCCUGUUCAUCAUUCAAUGGCUCAAACGCACUGCUCUCUCGGCAAAAGCGAAAGGAGGAGCAACUUGCCAUUUGGAUAUAUCUUAGCUGUGUUUGUGCCCUCACUCAUGGUCCAGACUUUUUUCAAAUAGGACAUGGAGUUUUUCUGCAGCGAGCGUUUUGGUAGAAACUGCGCCUCCCGUUCAUUAUAAUGGUAAAUGACCACAAACAAGUGCGCACACCAUCUUUGGACCUUGAGUGUGACGCGAUCGGGUGGGGGAGGCGGUCGUGCUGGGGGCGGCGUGACACGGCUCGGGCCCGCCAGUGCCCCAACGGGGCCCUAGUUAGGGCCCGAGCGUAGCUGCUAAGCAGCUGCGAGAGCCCUCUUGUUCCUGAUGGAUUCUUCUUUCGUUAUUUUUCCUCCGCUUUAAACUGGAAAAUGGCCCACUUCCCACUGGCGAAAACUCAGGAAAUUUGGCAGGACGACCGGGCCUGGUGAAAAAUUUGAUAUUCUGAAGUCGUCCAAACAAAAAAAUGAAAAAUGGCACCAUAGCGCCCCCUAUGGUGAAAACUCACCUGAUGCCUGUACGCUUUGUCAAAAUGACACAAAAUUUGACACACAUGUGUAUCUCAAUAAGAUCUACGAAAAAGUCAGUGCGGGCGUAUCUACCAAAUGUACGGUUAAAGGGCUAUUUCGCUUUUUUUGCCGAUCCGCACACAUUGGAAUUUCGCUAACUCCUCCGAAGGCUUUCGUUCCACCGGCACCAAGUUUGCUCAGGCCAAUCUACACCCCAUGGCCAUUAAAAGUUGUACAAAUCAUGAUGCUGCACCCCACGGUUUACUUUCUAGGGGGCGCCAAAGAUAACACAAAAAUCCACAUUCUUAAAAGUCUUAUAACUUUUUAUUUUUGUCCUCACUGGCCUCCAAGUUUUCUAGGAUGAUGCAAUGUCCAGCCAUCAACACAUUUGUGAAGGAAUUUUUACUCCCCAAAAGAGCGCCCCCCCAUGGCAGGAGAAAAAAGUCCAUUUUUUCUUGUCUCCUAAGGUAAAAAUACACAUUGUUGAGUGUCACGCCUAUACACUUUGUCAUAUUGACACACAAUUUGACAAUCACGUGUAUCUCAAUAAGAUCUACAAAAAAGUCAAUAGGCACGUAUCUGUCAAAUGUAUGGUUAAAGGGCUAUUUCGCAUUUUUUGCCGAUUCGCACACAUUGGAAUGUGGCUAACUCCUCCUAAGGCUUUCGUCCCACUGAUACCAAAUUUGCUCAGGCCAAUCCACACCCCAUGGCCAUUCAAAGUUGUAAAAAUCAUGACGCUGCACCCCACGGUUUACGUUCUAGGGGGCGCCAAAGAGGACCCAAAAAUCCACAUUCUUAAAAGUCAUUUUGGCCACUGCAGGAGUACAGAGUACUGCAGUUCUAGGGGGCGCCAAAGAUGACCCAAAAAUCCACAUUCUUAAAAGUCUUUUUGGCCACUGCAGGAGUACAGAGUACUGCCGGACACACACACAUAUACACACACGCCAACACACACACACACACACACACACACACACACACACACACACACACACUCAGAGUCUGUUUUUUAGCACCUGCAAAAACAUGCUGUUUACAUAUUUGACAAGAAUGCAGAGGCUUCCUUUUGCCCCUGAAAAAAAUCAAAUUUCAAACACAACUUGACUGUUCAUUUCUCCAAAAGACAACCAUGAAGCUCCAUCCAAACCUGAAGCAGAUAGUUGGUGCAUGUGUACAGUAACCUGAGGAGAGUGAGGUGACUACUUCUGAGGAGAACAUGAGCAGUGAAGAUUCACCUUGGAGCUAGAACAGGGACGUGCACAUGAUUAUACAGGGGCAGGGGCUCAAGUUUUUUCCAGUCAUUUAUACAAUAUGGAAAUUAAUGUGAAAUUAAACCACAAAUAUGUCUGAUGAACUGUUUUUAAAACUUAAACUUCAAAUAAAAAUUGUAAACUUCAAAACAUAUGCAAAUUUUUAACAAAGAACAUAGUAAUUUACCUCUAUUUACAUCAAAAUGCAGGCAAUGGCCCAGGCGUUCUUUGUAAAAUUAUUUACAAAACACUGUAUAGUCUCACAAAUGUCACUUUUUAUUUAUGCCACUACAAAAAAACAUGAUGUAAAUGAUGCAUGAUGUAAAACAUGAUGUAAAAAACUUGUGUAGAUCCUCCUCUAUGUCAGUCCAUGUGUAAUUUUUCCAUAAUUCUUUGUUUUUUGCAGCAUUUUUGUUAGUGUAACUGCAGAUUGUGCUGACAGUGUCUAUGGCACAAAAAAAAAAAAAAAUUAAAAUGCCUCAACAUGAACCCCUGGUGGUCUCUGAGGGUGAAACCUGCUAACUGCUGCAGCUCUGUCAGCUUCAGUCUCCCAUGCAGAGCUCUGAGCGCAUGUGUGGCUCUGCACCCUUAGCAGCGUUGCUAACUCCUCAGUAAGGAAAGCCUGCUUCAUGUCAGAGUCUCUAAACUCCAGAAGAAGUCGAUAAAAGUCCCUUUCUUUCUAAAAAAAAAGUCGUUAGGGUGUCUGAAAAGUCAUUGAAUCUAACAACAAAGUCGCUAGGUUUGCAACUACGUGUCCCAGACU